CUCCUCUCAGGAUCACACCUGGAGAGUUUCUGGUACUCUAUCAGUCUCGGUUAUAGGAGGAAGAGUUAAGCAGAGUCCUACUCACUCCAUUCCAUUUCUAGCUUGGGCAGUGGCUAGCACAUGGAAGACAAUCUGCUACAGGU